AAGUCGUAACAAGGUUUCCGUAGGUGAUCAUAGCCCGGAAAGUUGUAGUGAUUCAGAGACCUCUGGCUACGAACAUUGGAACAGUUACAAUCGAGCGGUAGUUCUAUAGGCAAUGUUUCCCCAAGCAGUCAGUGUCGGAAAGUGUCAUUGAUUGUGCAAGGAUAGCGCUUCUACGAUUCCUGUAGACCGUACACUCGGGCAGGAGCUUUGCCAAAGGGUCCCCAUGCCCCCUAAUAACCCCACAGUUUAAUGUGAAGCUCAAUGUAAUACAUUGGGUAAAAAAACCGAACAACUGUUAACAAUGGAUAUCUUGGUUCUC
rnacentral:misc_RNA from 1 species